CAGAUAGGCGGGGGCGCACGUGUGGAGCGUGUUUAGAAGAGAACCGACGGGCUGAGGAUGUCUCGCAAUUGUUGCAUUUGCUAACAUUAAGAUGAUGUGUCCCAUACUGACUAAACCAAACAGCACAUGAACACAUAGGUUAUCCUGAUAACCAAGGAGGCACCUGCUCCCCAGAUAGCUACACAAACGGCUUGACAACACUUCCUCUGGCUAUGUUUCCACAACACCUCACUGCGUGACACAACAACGGAUUCCAAGAAGGAUGAAUGGAACAUUCUGCACUGUCCACUAUCUCUGACAUCGGAGAAUAGAGUCAUGGAGUAUGUUCUUCUCAUUGUUCAUAUACAAGUUAUGCGAGCACUGCAUGUUUUGCCAAAGAAUAGAAUAGGAAGUGCCAUUAAGGGGUUAUGGAAUUGGCAUAUUCUUACAGCUUACCUUUGGACAUGUGCACUGUUUGAUGAGUCAUGCUGUGUUUAAGCAUGUGGAGGGUCACCUGCGGAUGGAAGGUCCAUUUAUGUUUGUAAACAUGUAUUUUGUGUACAUAUUUCUUAUGUGACUUUGUAUUUCCGUCAAUAAAACGAAAGAUGUA